GACGAACGCUGGCGGCGCGCUUAACACAUGCAAGUCGAACGGAAAGGCCUGCUUUCCCUUGUGGAUUGCGGGUACUCGAGUGGCGAACGGGUGAGUAACACGUGAGUGAUCUGCCCCCAACUUGGGUAUAAGCCUGGGAAACUGGGUCUAAUUCCCGAUAGGACUGCAGGGUGGUGCCCGUGGUGGAAAACGAUUUUCUAGUGGUUGGGGAUGAGCUCGCGGCCUAUCAGCUUGUUGGUGGGGUAAUGGCCUACCAAGGCGGCGACGGGUAGCCGGCCUGAGAGGGUGGACGGCCACAUUGGGACUGAGAUACGGCCCAGACGCGUACGGGAGGCAGCAGUGGGGAAUAUUGCACAAUGGGCGGAAGCCUGAUGCAGCGACGCCGCGUGGGGGAUGACGGCCUUCGGGUUGUAAACUCCUUUCGACCGCGAGGAAGCCACCUGGUUGGAAGGGUGGUGACGGUAGUGGUAGAAGAAGCACCGGCUAACUACGUG
rnacentral:rRNA from 1 species